rnacentral:rRNA from 1 species
UACGUAGGUGGCAAGCGUUGUCCGGAUUUACUGGGCGUAAAGAGCGCGCAGGCGGUCGUUCAAGUCGCGUGUGAAAGCCCCCGGCUCAACUGGGGAGGGUCACGCGAUACUGAUCGACUCGAAGGCAGGAGAGGGAAGUGGAAUUCCCGGUGUAGUGGUGAAAUGCGUAGAUAUCGGGAGGAACACCAGUGGCGAAGGCGACUUCCUGGCCUGUUCUUGACGCUGAGGCGCGAAAGCUAGGGGAGCAACAGGGG